CCAGAGUUUGAUUAGCUGGGCCUGGCUCUCCUGCUUACCCAACAGGCCGGCUGGCCAGAGGCCAGGCUGCAGUGGGGAGGCUCCCUGGCACCUCCUCCGGCUCUCACUCCCAGCUGGUAAACAGCAGAGCAGGAGCCAGCCACGCCUCAGCCUCGUGACUGCAGCCCACUCCUCCCCGGUGCACGUGGCAUCUGGCGUGGAGAGGGCAGGCAGCUGUCCCUUCCCUCACCUGCCCUCCCACCUCACCAUCCUGCACUCGUGCCCCACCCUGGAACCGCACGCUCCGCUACCAUCAACACCUCCGUUCCUGGGUGGCUCCCAGAGACUCCGGAGGGCUGCAGCUUACGGGACAAAGCCUCUCUUCCUCUGUGACUCUGGGUCCCUCAGGAUCCUUCUUGACCUACCAAGCAUGGGCAUGGAAUAGAGGCCGUGCAGAGCGCCUGGGGAUGGGCACUUGGCCCUGGCAUCAUGCCAGGCAGCCCUGCCCACCCCAGAUAUGGGGUCUUCAUAAUUGAGCAGAGCUUCUCCCUUGAAUGAAGGCCCAGGGUGUGGUCUCCGCACCUCUUCCAGCACCAUUGCUGCCACUCAAGAACUAUGUAGGUGGGCUUCCCUGGUGGCGCAGUGGUUUAAGAAUCUGCCUGCCAAUGCAGGGGACACGGGUUUGAGCCCUGGUCUGGGAAGAUCCCACAUGCCGCAGAGCAACUAAGCCCGAGCGUCACAACUACUGAGCCUGCGCUCUACAGCCGCAAGCCACAACUACUGAGCCCGCGUGCCACGACUACUGAAGCCCACGCGCCUAGAGCCCGUGCUCUCAAACAAGAGAAGCCACCGCAGUGAGAAGCCCGUGCACUGAAACGAAGAGUAGCACCCACUCGCUGCAACUAGAGAAAGCCUGCGUGCAGCAACGAAGACCCA